rnacentral:lncRNA from 1 species
AGCAAAACACAGGUUCCUCAAUCGCCCGCCCCAGUCCCCGGGCUUCCCUGCCUGCCCUGGCCCAUUCCUGCUCACACCCACUCCGCAUUUGCAUAUUUCUGCCAACCUCUUCCCUCCUCCCUCCCCUGGGUGCUGGAAGGGGUGACUCUUCCCACUAGGGAGGCAUGCCCUGUAUCCAGGAACCGCUGGGGGUCCCCUGCUGGGGCCUUUCUCACCCCUCUCCACCCCAAGGCCAAAAUGCUUAGGGUUCAUUGUGUGGUAAUUCCCCAGCGUUCCCUCACAGAGAACUUCAUGUCGCUUUCUAAUUGAAUUGUUGUCAUGGAAAUCACUUUCAUUUGCUCUGAAAGGACUUAACUAUCAGCCCCCCGUUUUCUCACUUCUGCCUUUGAUAAUAAUCAGCUCACUCCUACCCCCUCCUCUCAACUCCCAAAUCUUCCUUCAAUGAGCAUUCUUCCCGCAAAGUCUGGAGUCAGGGAAAUCAAAAGUCUGGUUUCCUUCCUAAUCCUCGCUGGAGCAUUCCCCGUGCUGCUGACCGAAGAGUUGUACUAUCUGCCCUGAGGACGCACACCCUAUAGCCUGGGAUGGACCUACCUGGCAAUGGCCUUGUAUAGACUAAUGGAGUCAGCCAAUCACAGAUGAGGACCCUGGAGCUCAGAAGGACAUGUGAUCAGCUGACCCAGCUCCUGGUCUCUAAUCCAGGGAUGGCAAAGGGCACCAUGAGUGGAGAACAUCUCCAGAUGAGGUCACCAGUGGCCCUCCUGACCCCCGGCAUCUGACUGUUUGAGCGAAGAAUGACAUUCAAAUGCAAACAGAUGAGCCAUGCUCUGCGCAGAACACUCUGGAAGUGGAAGUGCCAACAUCUGUAGCAGGGAUGGGUAAUGACCUGCCAGGCAAGGCCACAGUGUUAAAUUAAUCCCUGAUGUGUUGGAGGGUUUUUAUUCUUUCAUUGGGUCAUUUAAUAAUGUGACGACUCCCUCCUUCCCUCCGCCUUUAGCUCCCCCAUUGCCAUGGAGACAAUUGUGAAUCA